rnacentral:lncRNA from 1 species
CCCAGUGCAACAUGAAUAUAUGGGCCCCCUUUUAAAAGCCGCAGAAGAUAGAGGGGAUGGGGCUGCAGCUCAGUGAUAGGAUGUUCGCUAACCAUGUAGCUCAAGCUGGCCUUGAACUUGAACCAAUCCUUCUGUUUCAGCCUCCAGUUACUGAGAUUCCAAGCUUGUGCUGCCACACCUGGCUAAAAUACCUUUGAGUUGAUUUCUUCCAAGCCUCAGACCUGUGUGUUUCCACUUUGGUUUAUGGUUGUCUUGCAGAAUGAAUAAUGAGAUUGAACAAAG